GUCCACGCUGUAAACGAUGAUCACUAGAUGUGGGUUUUGCGAAGCAGAAUCUGUGUCGAAGCUAACGCGUUAAGUGAUCCGCCUGGGGAGUACGGUCGCAAGAUUAAAACUCAAAGAAAUUGACGGGGGUCCGCACAAGCGGUGGAACAUGUGGUUUAAUUCGAAACUACGCGAGGAACCUUACCUGGGCUUGACAUGUACUUGACCGGUGUAGAAAUACAUUUUUCUUGUAGUAAUACAGACGGGUACACAGGUGCUGCAUGGCUGUCGU
rnacentral:rRNA from 1 species